rnacentral:rRNA from 1 species
AACGAACGCUGGCGGCAGGCCUAACACAUGCAAGUCGAGCGGACCUUUCGGGGUCAGCGGCGGACGGGUGAGUAACGCGUGGGAAUAUGCCCUUCUCUACGGAAUAGUCCUGGGAAACUGGGGGUAAUACCGUAUACGCCCUUUGGGGGAAAGAUUUAUCGGGGAAGGAUUAGCCCGCGUUGGAUUAGGUAGUUGGUGGGGUAAUGGCCUACCAAGCCGACGAUCCAUAGCUGGUUUGAGAGGAUGAUCAGCCACACUGGGACUGAGACACGGCCCAGACUCCUACGGGAGGCAGCAGUGGGGAAUCUUAGACAAUGGGGGCAACCCUGAUCUAGCCAUGCCGCGUGAGUGAUGAAGGCCUGAGGGUUGUAAAGCUCUUUCAGCUGGGAAGAUAAUGACGGUACCAGCAGAAGAAGCCCCGGCUAACUCCG